AUUGAACGCUGGCGGCAGGCCUAACACAUGCAAGUCGAGCGGCAGCGACUAUAACUAGAACCUUCGGGGGACGAUUAAGGGCGGCGAGCGGCGGACGGGUGAGUAAUGCCUGGGAAUAUGCCCUGAUGUGGGGGAUAACUAUUGGAAACGAUAGCUAAUACCGCAUAAUCUCUUCGGAGCAAAGAGGGGGACCUUCGGGCCUCUCGCGUCAGGAUUAGCCCAGGUGGGAUUAGCUUGUUGGUGAGGUAAUGGCUCACCAAGGCAACGAUCCCUAGCUGGUCUGAGAGGAUGAUCAGCCACACUGGAACUGAGACACGGUCCAGACUCCUACGGGAGGCAGCAGUGGGGAAUAUUGCACAAUGGGGGAAACCCUGAUGCAGCCAUGCCGCGUGUAUGAAGAAGGCCUUCGGGUUGUAAAGUACUUUCAGUAGGGAGGAAGGCAGUGUCGUUAAUAGCGGCAUUGUUUGACGUUACCUACAGAAGAAGCACCGGCUAACUCCGUGCCAGCAGCCGCGGUAAUACG
rnacentral:rRNA from 1 species